rnacentral:telomerase_RNA from 1 species
UGCCGAUGACAGAUCUGCCAUCUCUACGCUCGCUUCCUUUCUUGAUAGUGCUGUAUGACAGCACACCAUCACUCGAAGGAGCGACCACCCAUUGUCAAAGAGGGACCUCCAACCGAUACACACGGCCGGAAAACGCAGCAUCCAACCCAUUUUCGAUCUUGCGCCCGCCUCUGCCCACCCGGCGUCUCUGUCUUUUGACUUUUCCUGUCUUUUUUUGACCUUGACUAGCUCUGCCUUCUCCCGAAAAGGCAGGGCAUGUCGGCCAAAGACGAGGAGGGGCAAACGAGCGUCGAGAUCAAAGGUAGCCUUGUCUAGGGCUUUAAAGCGGUACAAGACGAUCCUAACCCUAAGUUGUUUUAUGCAGAGCGGUAAGGCUGCUUCAGGCGUUUCGACUCUAUCCUUCCAGCCGCGAUUUUCGAUUUCAAGCGGCGCUUGCGAUUCGUGCAUCUUGCCCUAAUCGCCGAGGGCCUGCGUUGUACGAAAUCGAAGCGGGAUACGAUGGGAGGAAGAGAGGACGAGAUGCUUCUGAAGAAAUAGUCUUUUGACGUCUGUAAAAGUCCCUUUGACUCGGAAGGGACAAGGCUAGAUGCUACACGUUUAGCACCUUAACCUUGGACGUUUGUCCUUUUACGAUCGCACGCUCCUGCCGACGUCGAUAUACCUCUGGUCCGCGCACUCUUUCACGAACGACUGCAUUGGCCAGAUCGACAAACACAAUCCCUACAACCUAGACGGUUUGUAUUUGACACCAUAAAACACGGAGUUAUGGUGCCGGGGGCGGUUUAUUUGUUCUGUCGCUUCUUGUCACCGCCUUUUUCCAAGCAAGUACAAUGAAGGACGGAUGCCCGUUUUUUGCUGCUGGCGGUGUUGGAGGGGGUUUCGUCUUUGGCUGGAAGGGUGUUGUAGGGGCAAGAAAAGCGGACGUGGAGUGGGGUUGUUCUCGAGGCAAAGCACGGAUCGAGUUCUUUCGAAGGGUCGCGGUAACGCCCUCCUCUUCUUCCUGUCGACAGCAUCGAAGCGCACAAGGGGGUAAUGGUUCCGAAACGCCACCACACAAAGACGCCAAAAACACAGCUCUUCGGAGGGGAAAGGAGAUCGCACGCGGCCCACCUUUCUUUUGGCUUACUCACUUCUGCGUCGUCGACGAUUGUUUCAGGGAUCGACUGCUUGAUCAGCACUGCUGGGCAUUUUCCGAUCUUUGGCGUGUGGAAAUACCCAGGCCCGCGGUCGCAUCGAUCCCAGACGUCGCUGACACGACACAGAAGAUGACAGGCUGGUCGAGACGCAAAAAGAACAGGACGGCGCCAAGUCGGACUCCGAGUGUUUCUAGAGCUUCGUUUGCUCGCUUUGGCUUUGUGCGCGGGGCGUUGGGAGCGCCGUGAACCCCGUACCACGAUUUGUUGCAGGCGAUGGGUGGGAGGCGAUGAUGGGAAGUGUUAUAAUUUUUCUCUCUUUGGACAAG